ensembl:lncRNA
GAGCAUAACUCCACACAGAAAGGACUAGAUCCCAGAACUGAAAACAGGCUUGAAACCUGAGAAGAUAUGAGAGACUGCAAGAGCUCACAGGCCGAAAAUUUGCAUUCUGACUAUAGGAAGCGCCUCUGUAGAACGUCUUUUAGGGCUGUUUUCAAGGAAGAAAAAACAGUAGCCACUAAGCACAGGUAUUAUUGAGAAACCCCGAAAGGCUGCUGAUUAGUUAAACUUAAAAACAACAACGGUGAUUGGUUAAACUCAGACAACACAACGAUAAUUAAAACUUGGAGGCAAAUGCUGACUGGUUAAACUCAGAUAAUUGAAAAAUACUGAUUGAUAAAAGUUGGAGAAGACAACAAGCACCACUUUUCUGCCCUCAAUUAACACAACAGACCCUCUUUUUUUUUUUUUUUUUUUUUACAUCCUACAGGCAGUGAGCUAGACUGUUUGUUGCUGCCUGGCACACUCUAAAUUAACGUCUUACUCAAAAACUGUUGGAUCUUACACCACAAUGGUAAGAGGAAGGCUGUAAGGUCUGAUUAUGAGAUUGUUCCUGUAAGCAUUCAGGCUACGUCGUACUUCCUGCGGGUUCCUGCAAUGGAAGGCUGCCUACUGAUUCACCACAUCAGCACUGUGUAAACUGUAUUUACUGGAUAAUUGUCAAAAUCUCCAUUGCAAGAUUUGUCCAAUGCACCAGUAGGUAUGUUGUGACGUACAGUAUAUAUCUGUGUAAGCAAACUUUUGGUGACACAGUACUUAUGCAUGGAAAUUUGGACUGAAAUGCCCCACCACACUGAUUACAGUGCUCUUUUUAAAGCCUUCAUUCCAGGCACAUGAUUGCAUAAUUGGACUGACGCCACAAAACCCAUAUAUAAGAUGUGUGAAGGGUGCAAUCAUGUGAAGUGGAGAACCUUUAGACACAUCAACUGGUUUAGAAACUGGAGCUUCAAUUUUUUUGUGUGUGUGUUUCCUUUUGAGCUCACUUGAGUCAAAUAAAAUAUUCAGGCUUCAUCCCUGCAAGCAGAAAACACUCCGGAUGGAAUUUUUCUGAAUGCACACUCUGCCUUUCUCUCUCUCUUACUCCCUCUCUGAGUCUCUCUGUAUCUUCAUCACACACAGACACAGACACACAUACACGCACUAAAUAACCCCCUCCAACGCCACAAACAUACACUGUUUGCUUCUGUGCUCUGUGUGCUACAGAUAAUCUUUAUGAGGCAGAGACCCCAUUGAGAGUAUUUAUAACCCAAUCAGAUGGGUAUUCAGCUUUUUCUUCUCUUGCCACUGUUUCUGCCCUUGCUGCUCGACGAAUGUUAAAGCCACUCAAUCAACAUAUCACCGUGAGAUCCAUGAGCCUAGCAUGCGAGCAUGUAUUGCAUAUGUGGUGCAACAGCUGGUGGUAAUCCUCUAAAAAAAAAAAAAAAAAAAAAAAAAAAAAAAGACAUAAAACAUUUUCACCUUCACCCAAGUGAACUUCUUAGUUUGUUGCCGCACACACAAAUAUACAUGCAUUAUCAGUGAAAAAGCACCAAGUGUAUAUGGACUACCAGUCAAAAGUUUGGACACACCUUCUCAUUUCAUGGUUUUUCUUUAUUUUCAUGACUAUUUACAUUGUCA